AAAAGAGAAAGAUCCUCGCUUAGCUAGGAUUUCCUCUUCAAUCAGGGUCAUCCCUGACUUCCCCAAAAAAGGGGUUUUGUUUCAGGAUAUAACGACCUUGCUUCUCGAUACUGAGGCGUUCAAGGACACAAUAGAUUUGUUUGUUGAGAGAUAUAAAGGGAAAGGGAUCUCUGUCGUUGCAGGUAUUGAGGCAAGAGGUUUUAUAUUUGGCCCUCUAAUUGCAUUGGCUAUUGGAGC
rnacentral:misc_RNA from 1 species